rnacentral:lncRNA from 1 species
GGUCGCCUCACCAGUGGUUAAAGAUUGAUGACAAUCUUUUAAUGAGCUGGGGAGGGAUAUAUAACAUAAGCAGCAUACUUUGAAUGAGCUGCAAGCAUGAUGAUCUUGAUUAAGCUAGUGGUUAACAUAUGUAAUAAUCCACAUAGGUCAAAUCAAGAUACGCAUAAAAUGAUCAUGCACCAAAAUAAUAGAACAUGGAUGAAGGCAUUUUCAUGUGGACGUGGCAAAUAG